GGCAGAGUGGCCGAGCGGUCUAAGGCAACGGUCCGAAAGGGCGUGGGUUCGAAUCCCACCUCUGUCA
rnacentral:tRNA from 1 species